UCACCCUCACCAUGGAACCGUACUCUGAUGAGCAUCUAAGAAACACAGAAACUCAGAAAUGAAACCAUGUGGCUCUGGCACUGCUGACAUAGAAUCACUGAUAUUUCAAAUAUCAGACUUCUCAAAAAGAAGGUACAAUGAGGAGUCAGGAGUCUGCAACAUGGAAGAGAGCUCUCACCAGAAUCCGAUCAUGCUGGCACCCUAAUUUCAAAUUUCCAGCCUCCAGAACUGCUCCAAGAAAUGGAAUUUUAUUAAAAGAUGGAAGAGGAGGAUAUUUGAGAGAAGGGGAACUACCUAAUACUGAAAACUAAUACAGUCCAGGAUACAUAGAAGAUGAUCAAUAACACUUAUUCAAUCUAAAUUACCCUAUCAGCAAGUGGAGAAUUCUCUCUCGGGAGUGCUGUUUUCUUUCCUGCCAG
rnacentral:lncRNA from 1 species